GCUUCCAGAUUCCAGGACUCAAG
rnacentral:piRNA from 1 species